rnacentral:tRNA from 1 species
AGCGGGGUAGAGGAAUCUAUCAACUCAUCAGACUCAUGACCUGAAGAUUGCAGGUUCGAAUCAUGUCCCCACCU